rnacentral:rRNA from 1 species
UACCUACGGGGGGCAGCAGUAGGGAAUCUUCCACAAUGGACGAAAGUCUGAUGGAGCAACGCCGCGUGAGUGAAGAAGGGUUUCGGCUCGUAAAGCUCUGUUGGUAGUGGAGAAAGAUAGAGGUAGUAACUGGCCUUUAUUUGACGGGAAUUACUUAUAAAGUCACGGCUAACUACGUGCCAGCAGCCGCGGUAAUACGUAGGUGGCAAGCGAUGUCCGGAUUUAUUGGGCGUAAAGCGAGUGCAGGCGG